rnacentral:rRNA from 1 species
UGAGGAAUAUUGGUCAAUGGGUGCAAGCCUGAACCAGCCAUCCCGCGUGAAGGACGACUGCCCUAUGGGUUGUAAACUUCUUUUGUAUAGGGAUAAACCUACCCUCGUGAGGGUAGCUGAAGGUACUAUACGAAUAAGCACCGGCUAACUCCGUGCCAGCAGCCGCGGUAAUACGGAGGGUGCAAGCGUUAUCCGGAUUUAUUGGGUUUAAAGGGUCCGUAGGCGGACUUAUAAGUCAGUGGUGAAAGCC